CCGAAGCUAGGGGCGUGGUUUAGGCUCUCAGCUCCGCCCCCGGCUCGCCGGAGGCGGUGGACCCUUAGCAAAGCCGCCGGCUGCGCAGCUCGGAGGCACUAAGUAAAUAAGGCGGGGAGGGCAAGGGGGUGCGUGACCCGCUGGGAGGAAGAGCGGGACGCAGGCAGAAGGAACUGGCAAAGGGAGACAGACAGCCACGUGGUAAGACAGACAGCCACGUGGUACGAUGAGAAAAGAGGCUUUGGGAGAGGAAAGAAGGCGCUUUCCCCAGGUUUCAACGGAGGUGUAGGACUGGGUGAGACGUCUUAAAGCAACGAGGCUCAUUUAUUCAGGUGAAAAACUAUUUGAGGAAUCAAGUCAAACACUAAUUGAAUUAUGUUGGGGAAACAUAAGGCUCACUUUGCCAAUAAGCAAUAUUUGCUGGAAGAAUUUCAGAAAACCGCCAAGAGGCCAGCCUUGCCCUGUGGUCCUAAGGUGAAGAAACACUACAAGGCCAAAUCACUUGGCUCAAUGUCACUUGCUAUUCACUGGGAGAGUUGGGAUUGGAAUCUGGCUACUUUGGUUUCAAAGUACAUGCUCUCAACCACUGUGCUAUGUCACCUCUCUAAAAUGACAACUUAACCAUGUAUAAUAAAGUGACUUUGAAAGGUCAGUGAAUUUCCCAGAAACUCAUUGCUAAUAUUCUAGAGCAGAUUAAUGUGAAACUUCCACUGUUUUCUCAGACUUUGUGCCUGGAAUUCUGAGAUGGCUGAUAAUUUAUGAAUAAACUUGACUCCAUUGUACUAAAGAAAGUAUAUUGACUAAGAAACAAAGUUGAAGCAGGAACAUAAUAAAAUGCACUAUUAAAGAUAUAAUGGCAAAUCAACUAUGAUAAAGGAACACAAUAAAAGUUUAAGUACACCAACAGGACUGUAUAUUUACUGAAAUAUAA